rnacentral:pre_miRNA from 12 species
GGGUGCCAGCUUGGCGGUUGUAUGUGUGGCGCCAUUUACUUGAACUCUUAGGAGUGACAUCACAUAUACGGUGGCUAAACUGCUCCAUGGAC